rnacentral:tRNA from 1 species
GAGGGUAUAGCUCAAGUGGUAGAGCGCGUGCUUCGCAUGCUCGAGGUCCUGGGUUCAAUCCCCAGUACCUCCU